rnacentral:rRNA from 1 species
CACGUAGUUAGCCGGUGCUUAUUCUUCCGGUACCGUCAUCAGCCCAGGGUAUUAUCCCGAGCCUUUUCUUCCCGAACAAAAGUGCUUUACAACCCGAAGGCCUUCUUCACACACGCGGCAUUGCUGGAUCAGGCUUUCGCCCAUUGUCCAAAAUUCCCCACUGCUGCCUCCCGUAGGAGUCUGGGCCGUGUCUCAGUCCCAGUGUGGCUGGUCGUCCUCUCAGACCAGCUACAGAUCGUCGCCUUGGUAGGCCUUUACCCCACCAACUAGCUAAUCUGCCAUCGGCCGCCCCUAUAGCGAGAGGUCCGAAGAUCCCCCCCUUCCUGCGUACAGCGUAUGCGGUAUUAAUCCGGCUUUCGCCGGGCUAUCCCCCACUACAGGACACGUUCCGAUGUAUUACUCACCCGUUCGCCACUCGUCAGCGGAGCAAGCUCCCUGUUACCGUUCGACUUGCAUGUGUAAGGCAUGCCGCCAGCGUUCAAUCUGAGCCAGGAUCAAACUCU